rnacentral:rRNA from 1 species
GAUGAACGCUGGCGGCGUGCCUAAUACAUGCAAGUCGAGCGAACGGACGAGAAGCUUGCUUCUCUGAUGUUAGCGGCGGACGGGUGAGUAACACGUGGAUAACCUACCUAUAAGACUGGGAUAACUUCGGGAAACCGGAUCUAAUACCGGAUAAUAUUUUGAACCCCAUGGUUCAGAAGUAAAAGAUGGUCUUGCUGUCACUUAUAGAUGGAUCCGCGCUGCAUUAGCUAGUUGGUAAGGUAACGGCUUACCAAGGCAACGAUGCAUAGCCGACCUGAUAGGGUGAUCAGCCACACUGGAACUGACACACGGUCCAGACUCCUACGGGAGGCAGCAUUACGGAAUCUUCCGCAAUGAGGAAAAGCCUGACGGAGCAACGCCGCAUGAGUGAUGAAGGUCUUCGGAUCGUAAAACUCUGUUAUAAUGGAAGAAUAUAUGUGUAAGUAACUGUGCACCUCUUGACUGUACCUAAUCAGAAAGCCACGGCUAACUACGUGCCAGCAGCCGCGGUAUUACUUAGGUGGCAAGCGUUAGCCAGAAUUAUUGGGUGUAAAGCGCGCGUAGGCGGUUUUUUAGUCUGAUGUGAAAGCCCACGGCUCAACCGUGGAGGGUCAUUGGAAACUGGAAAACUUGAGUGCAGAAGAGGAAAGUGGAAUUCCAUGUGUAGCGGUGAAAUGCGCAGAGAUAUGGAGGAACACCAGUGGCGAAGGCGACUUUCUGGUCUGUAACUGACGCUGAUGUGCGAAAGCGUGGGGAUCAAACAGGAUUAGAUACCCUGGUAGUCCACGCCGUAAACGAUGAGUGCUAAGUGUUAGGGGGUUUCCGCCCCUUAGUGCUGCAGCUAACGCAUUAAGCACUCCGCCUGGGGAGUACGACCGCAAGGUUGAAACUCAAAGGAAUUGACGGGGACCCGCACAAGCGGUGGAGCAUGUGGUUUAAUUCGAAGCAACGCGAAGAACCUUACCAAAUCUUGACAUCCUUUGACAACUCUAGAGAUAGAGCCUUCCCCUUCGGGGGACAAAGUGACAGGUGGUGCAUGGUUGUCGUCAGCUCGUGUCGUGAGAUGUUGGGUUAAGUCCCGCAACGAGCGCAACCCUUAAGCUUAGUUGCCAUCAUUAAGUUGGGCACUCUAAGUUGACUGCCGGUGACAAACCGGAGGAAGGUGGGGAUGACGUCAAAUCAUCAUGCCCCUUAUGAUUUGGGCUACACACGUGCUACAAUGGACAAUACAAAGGGCAGCGAAACCGCGAGGUCAAGCAAAUCCCAUAAAGUUGUUCUCAGUUCGGAUUGUAGUCUGCAACUCGACUACAUGAAGCUGGAAUCGCUAGUAAUCGUAGAUCAGCAUGCUACGGUGAAUACGUUCCCGGGCCU